rnacentral:rRNA from 1 species
UACGUAGGGUGCAAGCGUUAAUCGGAAUUACUGGGCGUAAAGCGUGCGCAGGCGGUUGUGCAAGACAGAUGUGAAAUCCCCGGGCUUAACCUGGGAACUGCAUUUGUGACUGCACGGCUAGAGUGCGGCAGAGGGGGAUGGAAUUCCGCGUGUAGCAGUGAAAUGCGUAGAUAUGCGGAGGAACACCGAUGGCGAAGGCAAUCCCCUGGGCCUGCACUGACGCUCGUGCACGAAAGCGUGGGGAGCAAACAGG